rnacentral:rRNA from 1 species
UCGGGAAUAUUGGGCAAUGGAGGGAACUCUGACCCAGCCAUGCCGCGUGCAGGAUGAAGGCGUUAUGCGUUGUAAACUGCUUUUUAUAUAGGAAGAAAUAGUCCUUGCGAGGAAAGUUGACGGUACUAUAUGAAUAAGCACCGGCUAACUCCGUGCCAGCAGCCGCGGUAAUACGGAGGGUGCAAGCGUUGUCCGGAUUUAUUGGGUUUAAAGGGUGCGUAGGCGGUUUAUUAAGUCAGUGGUGAAAGACGGUCGCUCAACGAUUGCAGUGCCAUUGAUACUGGUAGACUUGAGUAUGAUUGAGGUAGCUGGAAUGGAUAGUGUAGCGGUGAAAUGCAUAGAUAUUAUCCAGAACACCAAUUGCGUAGGCAAGUUACUAAGUCAUAACUGACGCUGAGGCACGAAAGUGUGGGUAUCAAACAGGAUUAGAUACCCAUGUAGUCCCUGAGCGGGCUGGCAAGGCGCAU